UUUUCUUUUCCAGAGGAAAAUACAAGAACAGUCUUGAAAAGUUUGAGGCACUUUGAUGAAUGAUAAACGUGAAGGCAGGAUUAAACGUUAAAAUCCAUUUUAAAAGCACAACAUAAGGAUCUGUAGUUUCUUUGCUAAAGUCUCUUUGACGCGACGAUGAGUUCACGGCGCCCCGCGCUCCCCGGCGUGGGAUGUGCCAUCUCCCCUGCCAUCUGAGGGAACAGGAGAGGCUCUGGCGUGACCCAACAGUCCCCCUUAUGAUCCAGCACUGCCGACACUGGGGAAGCCUUUGGCCUCGUGGAGACAGAUGGCAUCAAUGGUGGGUAAGUGUGCCUCAGGAUGGCAUGACAUGCGGGGCCGCCUCGCCAUGAAUACUUCCAUACAAAUUUCAACUUUAAAGUGACUACGAUGCGCUUGAGGUCAGCUGAUGUCAUCCAAAACCGCGCAAGGAGAGCUUUGAGUCAUUUAAACAGCGUAUUUAGUCUCCUACAUUAUUCUAAAAUGAACACAAUGUGUUAUAUAUAUUUUUUAAAAUACUGUGACAAAUAGUCAAAAUAUUUUAGUAUUUUACAGAAAUUGUUAUACUUAAAAUGUUGGGGUCCUCAACAUAUUUUUCAAGGUCAACGUGAACAGUAGUAGACCUCUGUAAUAUUGUUUGCAGAUGAUAAAGUACAUAAAUAAAUAACUAAUUAUUAAAAAAGGUUUUAAUGAUAAUCUAAUAAAAUACAAAUUAUAUUUGAAAAAUAUAUUAUUAAAAACCAAUUUUAAACAAUACAACAUUCACCGUUCAUAUGGAUUUUCUAAAUCUAUAGCACCUACUGAGUGAUAUGUGUAAAAAAUUAAGGCAUUUAAAUUUGGCAUCCCCCAUGUUCGAAAUGACAAAAACAAAUUUUAGGUCACAGUGUGAUGCAGUGCGGUUCAGCACCAUUGCAAAUUACAGCCAAGGUAAAAAAUUGUCAUAUGAACCCUUUUUUUUGUUUGUUUUAUUGGAUCUCCAUAGAUGCCUAUUGAAGUCUAACUGCUACACCACGUAUUCUUUUGCUAUUUUAUGAUCAGGUAGUUGCUAUCAAUAUAUGUUGAAGAGGGAGCAACAGCAAUGUGUAAAUACUCUUAUUAAUUUAUACAAACAGAGUUGCUCCAUCAGAGCACAGAUACAAAACAUUCAGUAGAUAACAGGACAUUCAGGAGACAACAGAACAAAUGUCUGCCUUAUGUAUGUUGCUCCUUCUUUUCCCCUCCCUAUUCUUCUCUACCUUAUUCCUGCUUGUGGACGGAACUAUGACGUUGUUUCAUCUGCUGAAGUGCAUUGUGUACUUGAAACAACCCAAGGUCUUGCAAAUAAAGAACCAACUAUAACUCCACAACAAUGUA